GAUGAACGCUGGCGGCGUGCCUAAUACAUGCAAGUCGAGCGAACAGACGAGGAGCUUGCUCCUCUGACGUUAGCGGCGGACGGGUGAGUAACACGUGGAUAACCUACCUAUAAGACUGGGAUAACUUCGGGAAACCGGAGCUAAUACCGGAUAAUAUAUUGAACCGCAUGGUUCAAUAGUGAAAGACGGUUUUGCUGUCACUUAUAGAUGGAUCCGCGCCGCAUUAGCUAGUUGGUAAGGUAACGGCUUACCAAGGCAACGAUGCGUAGCCGACCUGAGAGCGUGAUCGGCCACACUGGAACUGAGACACGGUCCAGACUCCUACGGGAGGCAGCAGUAGGGAAUCUUCCGCAAUGGGCGAAAGCCUGACGGAGCAACGCCGCGUGAAUGAUGAAGGUCUUCGGAUCGUAAAACUCUGUUAUUAGGGAAGAACAAAUGUGUAAGUAACUAUGCACGUCUUGACGGUACCUAAUCAGAAAGCCACGGCUAACUACGUG
rnacentral:rRNA from 1 species